rnacentral:rRNA from 1 species
UACGGGAGGCAGCAGUGGGGAAUAUUGCGACAAUGGGCGCAAGCCUGAUGCAGCCAUGCCGCGUGUAUGAAGAAGGCCUUCGGGUUGUAAAGUACUUUCAGUCGUGAGGAAGGUGUUAAGGUUAAUAACCUUAGCAAUUGACGUUAGCGACAGAAGAAGCACCGGCUAACUCCGUGCCAGCAGCCGCGGUAAUACGGAGGGUGCGAGCGUUAAUCGGAAUUACUGGGCGUAAAGGGCACGCAGGCGGUUAAUUAAGUUGGAUGUGAAAUCCCCGGGCUUAACCUGGGAAUGGCAUUCAAGACUGGUUAGCUAGAGUCUUGUAGAGGGGGUAGAAUUCCAUGUGUAGCGGUGAAAUGCGUAGAGAUGUGGAGGAAUACCGGUGGCGAAGGCGGCCCCGUGGACAAACGACUGACGCUCAUGUGCGAAAGCGUGGGGAGCAAACGAGGAUUAGAUACC